CGGAAUAAUCGGGCAGCGAGAGAUUCAGCUUGACUACAUUUUCCCCAUGGGGAUAAACCACCAAAUAAUAUUCUAAAUAAUUCAAAAUCUAUUUUAUAUGCUUCAUAAGGCGGCUGUGUUGGAUCAUAACGAUCAGGAGUAGCACUAUCAACUGGUCUAGGAAGUAUAAGUCCCUCAUCAUUGUAUACACCUCCAAGAUAAUCUGUUAAUAACUGCAUUGCUUCACCAUCGUCACGGCAAUUUAAUAAUUUAUCUUGGUUCCACUCCAGUACUGUCAAUGCUAUCUGACACAGGAAGAAAGACCUGUUUACUUCAAAUUUCUUCUGUACGUAAUUUAUUCUGUAUUUAUUAGAAAGAAUGUCAAUAAAAUUUAAUAGUUUGACUAAUAAAAAAUAAUUAAGGAGCUAAAAAUAAAAUAUACAUAAAAUGUGUUAUACCUGGAAAAUUACUUUUGCUCCAUCAUAGAAAAAACAAUCCAUUAUAUUUACUGCACUACUUGUUGGCAUAACACUUAAAAAUAUAGUUAAGAACCAUGAAAGUGAUAUAACUUUAAUAAGACCAAGUUCUUGCAACCUAGCAUGUAAAGUUGGUAAAUGUUCAGCAGCUAAUUCUUCUAAAAGACCUUGAUCAACAAGAGCACCGACUACUCUUCUAUCAUAAUAAUCGGGUAAUAAUGAUUCACAUACAUUACAUAAUUGCCAAAAUGCAGAUUCUUCUGAGCAAUAAAUUAAUAGUACUGAAGCUACUAUAUUCAUGGCCUGACAAUAACCUGUUUCAAAACAAUUAAAAUGAUAAUUUUUUGAAAUUUUUAUAACAAUAACUACAGAUAAAAUUUUUACCAAUUUGUGGAUUUUUCCAAGCAUAUGCAGAAAGAACUCUUCUUAAAGCACUGAUACCAGUGUCAGAUUGAAAUGCUGGAUGUUCAGGUAAAGAUCGAUGCAAAUCUCGUUCUAUUUCUUCAUUUGCUUGACAUGAUUUACCUAAAGAUUGAUCAACUAAUGACUUAUAUAGUCCUGGAUUCAUUACCAUUUCAUUUAAAGCACC